AAAACUUUUGAAAUAGUUCCAUAAUGAUGACAUCGUAUUUCAUGAAUGGUCUAUCAUCAACAUUAUUUUCAAAAAACGCUCAAACUUUUGUCUUUUGAGGAAAUAAUUUCUUUUACAAAACAAGUUUUUAUCAUAUUAUAUAACCGGCUCUGCUGGACGAUCUGCUUUUACGAGAUCGGCGCCCAUUAAACUUUAUCCAUCAAUGUUAUAUCAAAAUUUGAAUUUUCUCUCUGCCGAGGUCUGCUUUGACACCCAUUUUUAUCAACCUGCUGGGCGAUCUGCGUUUACAAGAUCGAAUACUCCUAUAACAUAUUAAUCAAUCGAAUUCGGCUGAUAAAAUUGAUUGCCACAUUUGACAUAAUUAAAUCGUUGUUAAUAAAAUGCGAUCGUAAACAGCAUUCUUAUACGGAUUUUAAAACGUUUUGACAACAAACUAUGAAAAAUUAU
rnacentral:lncRNA from 1 species